ACGCUGGCGGCGUGCCUAAUACAUGCAAGUAGAACGCUGAAGAGAGGAGCUUGCUCUUCUUGGAUGAGUUGCGAACGGGUGAGUAACGCGUAGGUAACCUGCCUUGUAGCGGGGGAUAACUAUUGGAAACGAUAGCUAAUACCGCAUAACAAUGGAUGACACAUGUCUUUUAUUUGAAAGGGGCAAUUGCUCCACUACAAGAUGGACCAGCGUUGUAUUAGCUAGUAGGUGAGGUAACGGCUCACCUAGGCGACGAUACAUAGCCGACCUGAGAGGGUGAUCGGCCACACUGGGACUGAGACACGGCCCAGACUCCUACGGGAGGCAGCAGUAGGGAAUCUUCGGCAAUGGGGGCAACCCUGACCGAGCAACGCCGCGUGAGUGAAGAAGGUUUUCGGAUCGUAAAGCUCUGUUGUAAGUCAAGAACGAGUGUGAGAGUGGAAAGUUCACACUGUGACGGUAGCUUACCAGAAAGGGACGGCUAACUACGUGCCAGCAGCCGCGGUAAUACGUAGGUCCCGAGCGUUGUCCGGAUUUAUUGGGCGUAAAGCGAGCGCAGGCGGUUUGAUAAGUCUGAAGUUAAAGGCUGUGGCUCAACCAUAGUUCGCUUUGGAAACUGUCAAACUUGAGUGCAGAAGGGGAGAGUGGAAUUCCAUGUGUAGCGGUGAAAUGCGUAGAUAUAUGGAGGAACACCGGUGGCGUAAGCGGCUCCCUGGUCUGUAACUGACGCUGAGGCUCGAAAGCGUGGGGAGCGAACAGGAUUAGAUACCCUGGUAGUCCACGCCGUAAACGAUGAGUGCUAGGUGUUGGAUCCUUUCCGGGAUUCAGUGCCGCAGCUAACGCAUUAAGCACUCCGCCUGGGGAGUACGACCGCAAGGUUGAAACUCAAAGGAAUUGACGGGGGCCCGCA
rnacentral:rRNA from 1 species